rnacentral:misc_RNA from 1 species
AAGUCGUAACAAGGUUUCCGUAGGUGAACCUGCGGAAGGAUCAUUACCGAUAGUGUUGUGUGAGACGCACAUGAAGCUGAGCGAGCGCGACGAUGGGGUGCUCCCCUGGUCGCGCAAGGGAGUCAGUCUGCUCUCCCCGACUUUGGUCGGGAGAGCAAGGGAGCAGAAUCUGACUCUAGCGCCGUUCCCCGGCCUCGGCAGGGAGCUCGUCCACUUGUGGAGAAAGAACGGACCCGGUGCUUGAACGCCGCAGCCUGUGCUUGAAAAGGAAUUAAAAAUUGCAGAACAACUGCAGACGGUGGAUCACUCGGCUC